UUAAGCGACUAAGCGUACACGGUGGAUGCCCUGGCAGUCAGAGGCGAUGAAGGACGUGCUAAUCUGCGAAAAGCGUCGGUAAGGUGAUAUGAACCGUUAUAACCGGCGAUGUCCGAAUGGGGAAACCCAGUGCAAUUCGUUGCACUAUCGUUUGAUGAAUACAUAGUCAAACGAGGCGAACCGGGGGAACUGAAACAUCUAAGUACCCCGAGGAAAAGAAAUCAACCGAGAUUCCCCCAGUAGCGGCGAGCGAACGGGGAGCAGCCCGGAGUCUGAAUCAGCUUGUGUGUUAGUGGAAGCGUCUGGAAAGUCGCAGGGUACAGGGUGAUACUCCCGUACACUAAAAUGCACAGGUUGUGAACUCGAAGAGUAGGGCGGGACACGUGGUAUCCUGUCUGAAUAUGGGGGGACCAUCCUCCAAGGCUAAAUACUCCUGACUGACCGAUAGUGAACCAGUACCGUGAGGGAAAGGCGAAAAGAACCCCGGCGAGGGGAGUGAAAAAGAACCUGAAACCGUGUACGUACAAGCAGUAGGAGCCCACUAGUUGGGUGACUGCGUACCUUUUGUAUAAUGGGUCAGCGACUUAUAUUCUGUAGCAAGGUUAACCGUAUAGGGGAGCCGCAGGGAAACCGAGUCUUAACUGGGCGUUAAGUUGCAGGGUAUAGACCCGAAACCCGGUGAUCUAGCCAUGGGCAGGUUGAAGGUUGGGUAACACUAACUGGAGGACCGAACCGACUAAUGUUGAAAAAUUAGCGGAUGACUUGUGGCUGGGGGUGAAAGGCCAAUCAAACCGGGAGAUAGCUGGUUCUCCCCGAAAUCUAUUUAGGUAGCGCCUCGUGAACUCAUCUUCGGGGGUAGAGCACUGUUUCGGCUAGGGGGUCAUCCCGACUUACCAACCCGAUGCAAACUACGAAUACCGAAGAAUGUUAUCACGGGAGACACACGGCGGGUGCUAACGUCCGUCGUGAAGAGGGAAACAACCCAGACCGCCAGCUAAGGUCCCAAAGUCAUGGUUAAGUGGGAAACGAUGUGGGAAGGCCCAGACAGCCAGGAUGUUGGCUUAGAAGCAGCCAUCAUUUAAAGAAAGCGUAAUAGCUCACUGGUCGAGUCGGCCUGCGCGGAAGAUGUAACGGGGCUAAACCAUGCACCGAAGCUGCGGCAGCGACGCUUAUGCGUUGUUGGGUAGGGGAGCGUUCUGUAAGCCGUUGAAGGUGGCCUGUGAGGGUUGCUGGAGGUAUCAGAAGUGCGAAUGCUGACAUAAGUAACGAUAAUGCGGGUGAAAAACCCGCACGCCGGAAGACCAAGGGUUCCUGUCCAACGUUAAUCGGGGCAGGGUGAGUCGACCCCUAAGGCGAGGCCGAAAGGCGUAGUCGAUGGGAAACAGGUUAAUAUUCCUGUACUCGGUGUUACUGCGAAGGGGGGACGGAGAAGGCUAUGUUGGCCGGGCGACGGUUGUCCCGGUUUAAGCAUGUAGGCGGAUGUUCCAGGUAAAUCCGGAACGUCACUAACGCUGAGGUGUGAUGACGAGGCACUACGGUGCUGAAGUGACAAAUGCCCUGCUUCCAGGAAAAGCCUCUAAGCAUCAGGUAACAUCAAAUCGUACCCCAAACCGACACAGGUGGUCAGGUAGAGAAUACCAAGGCGCUUGAGAGAACUCGGGUGAAGGAACUAGGCAAAAUGGUGCCGUAACUUCGGGAGAAGGCACGCUGAUGGUAAGUGAAGUGACUUGCUCAUGGAGCUGAAAUCAGUCGAAGAUACCAGCUGGCUGCAACUGUUUAUUAAAAACACAGCACUGUGCAAACACGAAAGUGGACGUAUACGGUGUGACGCCUGCCCGGUGCCGGAAGGUUAAUUGAUGGGGUUAUCCGUAAGGAGAAGCUCUUGAUCGAAGCCCCGGUAAACGGCGGCCGUAACUAUAACGGUCCUAAGGUAGCGAAAUUCCUUGUCGGGUAAGUUCCGACCUGCACGAAUGGCGUAAUGAUGGCCAGGCUGUCUCCACCCGAGACUCAGUGAAAUUGAACUCGCUGUGAAGAUGCAGUGUACCCGCGGCAAGACGGAAAGACCCCGUGAACCUUUACUAUAGCUUGACACUGAACACUGGUCCUUGAUGUGUAGGAUAGGUGGGAGGCUUUGAAGUGUGGACGCCAGUCUGCAUGGAGCCAUCCUUGAAAUACCACCCUUUAAUGGCUGGUGUUCUAACGUGGGCCCGUAAUCCGGGUUGCGGACAGUGUCUGGUGGGUAGUUUGACUGGGGCGGUCUCCUCCUAAAGAGUAACGGAGGAGCACGAAGGUCAGCUAAUCCUGGUCGGACAUCAGGAGGUUAGUGCAAUGGCAUAAGCUGGCUUGACUGCGAGCGUGACGGCGCGAGCAGGUGCGAAAGCAGGUCAUAGUGAUCCGGUGGUUCUGAAUGGAAGGGCCAUCGCUCAACGGAUAAAAGGUACUCCGGGGAUAACAGGCUGAUACCGCCCAAGAGUUCAUAUCGACGGCGGUGUUUGGCACCUCGAUGUCGGCUCAUCACAUCCUGGGGCUGAAGUAGGUCCCAAGGGUAUGGCUGUUCGCCAUUUAAAGUGGUACGCGAGCUGGGUUUAGAACGUCGUGAGACAGUUCGGUCCCUAUCUGCCGUGGGCGCUGGAGAAUUGAGGGGGGCUGCUCCUAGUACGAGAGGACCGGAGUGGACGCAUCACUGGUGUUCGGGUUGUCAUGCCAAUGGCAUUGCCCGGUAGCUAAAUGCGGAAGAGAUAAGUGCUGAAAGCAUCUAAGCACGAAACUUGCCCCGAGAUGAGUUCUCCCUGACUCCCUGAGAGUCCUGAAGGAACGUUGAAGACGACGACGUUGAUAGGCCGGGUGUGUAAGCGCAGCGAUGCGUUGAGCUAACCGGUACUAAUGAACCGUGAGGCUUAACCUU
rnacentral:rRNA from 2 species